GCGGUGUUGGUCUAGUGGUAUGAGUAAGUGCUAGAGCUCCUUAAUGCAUGAAAUGAACGAAGAACUGAGACACCCAAAUUUCUCGCUUAGGGCGCACCCUGAGUCUAUCUGCGAGAGGUCCCCGGUUCAAUCCCGGGAUACCGCC
rnacentral:tRNA from 1 species